AAGCAGCUUGCUGCUUCGCUGACGAGUGGCGGACGGGUGAGUAAUGUCUGGGAAACUGCCUGAUGGAGGGGGAUAACUACUGGAAACGGUAGCUAAUACCGCAUAAUGUCGCAAGACCAAAGAGGGGGACCUUCGGGCCUCUUGCCAUCGGAUGUGCCCAGAUGGGAUUAGCUAGUAGGUGGGGUAACGGCUCACCUAGGCGACGAUCCCUAGCUGGUCUGAGAGGAUGACCAGCCACACUGGGACUGAGACACGGUCCAGACUCCUACGGGAGGCAGCAGUGGGGAAUAUUGCACAAUGGGCGCAAGCCUGAUGCAGCCAUGCCGCGUGUAUGAAGAAGGCCUUCGGGUUGUAAAGUACUUUCAGCGGGGAGGAAGGCGGUGAGGUUAAUAACCUCAUCGAUUGACGUUACCCGCAGAAGAAGCACCGGCUAACUCCGUGCCAGCAGCCGCGGUAAUACGGAGGGUGCAAGCGUUAAUCGGAAUUACUGGGCGUAAAGCGCACGCAGGCGGUCUGUCAAGUCGGAUGUGAAAUCCCCGGGCUCAACCUGGGAACUGCAUUCGAAACUGGCAGGCUAGAGUCUUGUAGAGGGGGGU
rnacentral:rRNA from 1 species